ensembl:lncRNA
CGCGUGUGCCAAUCCUGUGGACCUGCUGAGCGUGUCUGGGGGCCGGACGGACCCCAGAGGGCCCGUGUAGCUGGUCCCACAGACGCUGAGGCAUCCACUACACGUCCUCCUUCUCGGACACCUGCGGCUGUUCUCCGGACAGACGGAGCCACAGGACAGACGACUGACCUGCACCUCGGUGUUCACUAGCGGCUCCAAGGCCGUGACCACGAGGGGACGCACACUGCACCACAGCUCAGCAGGAUACGAAUGUGAACAACAAUCAGUGAGAUUGGUCCAGUGUUGAGGGAGAACGCUGCAGACGCUGUCCAUGAAUCAGGCUGCACGGAUCCUUCGGGGCUAUGGCACCCCAUAAUGUCACGCUCACGUAGAAGUCUCCAGACGGUACGGAGCAGCUGUAGGAUUCAGUUCUGAAGUGGAAGAGCACUUUUUGGCAAGACACUGGCCAGAGUUUGUUGAAUUGGACUACAGAAAGCAUAGCUUCAUGUUCUCUUAAGAAUUGGGGUGAAGGAGGGUUGAGAUUUCCCUCCUCCCGCUCAACUCUUCAGAAUGAGGGAUCUUUUCAUUAAUGUUGUCAGACACUAAUAAUAACAUGAAGAAGUAUUAUCAGAUCAUAGUGCAAGUUUCAAGUGUGUUCUAUAGUUCUCGUCCUAUGCUUUAUUCAGGCGAGGUGGAUAAAUAACGUGAUGAAUGCUCAACAUAUUUAUCAACUAAAAGUGGGGGUCAGAUGUCUGGCGCCAGGGAAAAUGUGUCCUCAGCUAACAGAGGGAACAUGAUGCAACACCAUCUCUUCAUUUCUCAGCAAACAAUCUGAGCCUGUCGGUGGCAAGAACAAUAACUUUUAGAAUUUAGAGGAUGUACAUUGAUGGCUCGUUGUUGCUUGAAAUUGGAACAUUGCAGCUUGUUUCGCAGGUUACGGCUUGAGCAGUGACAUAUUAUACCACCAGGUUUGAGUGUUAUUAGCCGU